UCCCUAUUACUAGAGCAGUCUGAAUAGAAAAAUACAACUAUUCACAAGGGUUGCGCUCGUUGAUGGACUUAACCAAACAUCUCACGACACGAGCUGACGGCGGCCAUGCAACACCUGUCACUUGGUUCCAAAAGGCACACUUUGCUUUCGCAAUGCUUCCAAGGAUGUCAAACCCUGGUAAGGUUCUUCGUUUAUCAUCGAAUUAAAGAACACGAUCCACCGCUUGUGCUGAUCCCCGUCAAUUCCUUUAUGUUUUAGUCUUGCGACCGUACUCCACAGGCGGGAUACUUAACGCGUUAGCGACGGCACCGGGAGGGUCGCUCCCCCCGACGCCUAGUGCCCAUCGUUUACGGCGUGGACUAC
rnacentral:misc_RNA from 1 species